rnacentral:rRNA from 1 species
GACGUAGGGCGCGAGCGUUGUCCGGAUUUAUUGGGCGUAAAAGAGCUCGUAGGCGGCUUGUCGCGUCGACUGUGAAAACCCGCGGCUCAACCGCGGGCUUGCAGUCGAUACGGGCUAGCUAGAGUGUGGUAGGGGAGAUCGGAAUUCCUGGUGUAGCGGUGAAAUGCGCAGAUAUCAGGAGGAACACCGGUGGCGAAGGCGGAUCUCUGGGCCAUUACUGACGCUGGAGGAGCGAAAGCGUGGGGGGCAAACAGGA